AAUAGAUACCCCGGUAGUCCACGCCGUAAACGAUGAGUGCUAAGUGUUAGGGGGUUUCCGCCCCUUAGUGCUGCAGCUAACGCAUUAAGCACUCCGCCUGGGGAGUACGGUCGCAAGACUGAAACUCAAAGGAAUUGACGGGGGGCCCGCACAAGCGGUGGAGCAUGUGGUUUAAUUCGAAGCAACGCGAAGAACCUUACCAGGUCUUGACAUCCCAUUGACCACUAUGGAGACAUAGUUUUCCCUUCGGGGACAACGGUGACAGGUGGUGCAUGGUUGUCGUCAGCUCGUGUCGUGAGAUGUUGGGUUAAGUCCCGCAACGAGCGCAACCCUUGUUCUUAGUUGCCAUCAUUUAGUUGGGCACUCUAAGGAGACUGCCGGUGACAAACCGGAGGAAGGUGGGGAUGACGUCAAAUCAUCACGCCCCUUAUGACCUGGGCUACACACGUGCUACAAUGGACGGUACAAACGGUUGCCAACCCGCGAGGGGGAGCUAAUCCGAUAAAACCGUUCUCAGUUCGGAUUGUAGGCUGCAACUCGCCUACAUGAAGCCGGAA
rnacentral:rRNA from 1 species